CGAAAGCCUGACGGAGCAACGCCGCGUGAGGGAUGAAGGCCUCUGGGCUGUAAACCUCUUUUAUCAAGGAAGAAGAUCUGACGGUACUUGAUGAAUAAGCCWCGGCUAAUUCCGUGCCAGCAGCCGCGGUAAUACGGGAGUGGCAAGCGUUAUCCGGAAUUAUUGGGCGUAAAGCGUCCGCAGGCGGCYUYGUAAGUCUGUUGUCAAAGCGUGGAGCUUAACUCCAUUUCGGCAAUGGAAACUAYVAGGCUUGAGUGUGGUAGGGGCAGAGGGAAUUCCCGGUGUAGCGGUGAAAUGCGUAGAUAUCGGGAAGAACA
rnacentral:rRNA from 1 species